rnacentral:rRNA from 1 species
GAAACGACUGCUAAGACUGGAUAGGAAGAUAAAAGGCAUCUUUUAUCUUUUAAAAGACCUAGUAAUAGGUAUGCUUUAGGAGGGGCUUGCGCCAUAUUAGUUAGUUGGUAGGGUAAUGGCCUACCAAGACGAUGAUGUGUAGCUGGACUGAGAGGUUGAACAGCCACAUUGGGACUGAGACACGGCCCAAACUCCUACGGGAGGCAGCAGUAGGGAAUUUUCGGCAAUGGAGGAAACUCUGACCGAGCAACGCCGCGUGAAUGACGAAGUACUUCGGUAUGUAAAGUUCUUUUAUCAAGGAAGAAAAGCAAAUGGCGAACCAUUUGUUUGCCGGUACUUGAUGAAUAAGCCCCGGCUAAUUAUGUGCCAGCAGCCGCGGUAAGACAUAAGGGGCAAGUGUUAUCCGGAAUUAUUGGGCGUAAAGGGUGCGUAGGCGGUCUAGUAAGUCAGUGGUGUAAUGGCAACGCUUAACGUUGUCCGGCUAUUGAAACUGCUAAACUUGAGUUAGAUAGAGGCGAGUGGAAUUCCAUGUGUAGCGGUAAAAUGCGUAAAUAUAUGGAGGAACACCAGAGGCGUAGGCGGCUCGCUGGGUCUUAACUGACGCUGAGGCACGAAAGCGUGGGGAGCAAACAGGAUUAGAUACCCUGGUAGUCCACGCCGUAAACGAUGAGUACUAAGUGUCGGGUUAAACCGGUACUGAAGUUAACACAUUAAGUACUCCGCCUGAGUAGUACGUACGCAAGUAUGAAACUUAAAGGAAUUGACGGGACUCCGCACAAGCGGUGGAUCAUGUUGUUUAAUUCGAAGAUACCCGAAAAACCUUACCAGGUCUUGACAUGUUUUUGCAAAAUGAUAGUAAUAUCGUGGAGGUUACCAGAAACACAGGUGGUGCAUGGUUGUCGUCAGCUCGUGUCGUGAGAUGUUAGGUUAAGUCCUAAAACGAGCGAAACCCUUAUCGUUAGUUGCCAGCACGUUAUGGUGGGGACUUUAACGAGACUGCCAAUGAUAAAUUGGAGGAAGGUGAGGAUCACGUCAAAUCAGCAUGCCCCUUAUGACCUGGGCUACAAACGUGAUACAAUGGCUGUUACAAAGGGUAGCUGAAACGCAAGUUCUUGGCCAAUCCCCAAAAACAGUCCCAGUCCGGAUUGAAGUCUGCGACUCGACUUCAUGAAGUUGGAAUCGCUAGUAAUCGCAAAUCAGCAUGUCGCGGUGAAUACGUUCUCGGGUUUGUACACACCGCCCGUCA